UACCAGCACCCCGAGUUGUCGGGACGAUUUAUUGGGCCUAAAGCAUCCGUAGCCUGUUCUGCAAGUCCUCCGUUAAAUCCACCUGCUCAACGGAUGGGCUGCGGAGGAUACCGCAGAGCUAGGAGGCGGGAGAGGCAAACGGUACUCAGUGGGUAGGGGUAAAAUCCAUUGAUCUACUGAAGACCACCAGUGGCGAAGGCGGUUUGCCAGAAAUGCGCUCGGACGGUGAAGGGCAUGAAAGCUGGGGGGAGCAAACCGGG
rnacentral:rRNA from 1 species